UACAGAGGGUGCGAGCGUUAAUCGGAUUUACUGGGCGUAAAGCGUGCGUAGGCGGCUUUUUAAUUCGGAUGUGAAAUCCCUGAGCUUAACUUAGGAAUUGCAUUCGAUACUGGAAAGCUAGAGUAUGGGAGAGGAUGGUAGAAUUCCAGGUGUAGCGGUGAAAUGCGUAGAUAUUGGGAAGAACACCGGUGGCGAAGGCGGCUUUCUGGACUGUAACUGACACUGAGGCACGAAAGCGUGGGGAGCAAACAGG
rnacentral:rRNA from 1 species